rnacentral:lncRNA from 13 species
UUGUCGACGCCGCUUGGAUAUAGGAUCCAGUGGGACUGAUUAAGAUGAUCCGUUGGCUGGGCGUAUGAACGAGUCAAUUUUAGACGUGGUUUUUGUGGAGACAAGAGGCGUAGGAAUUCAAUACCAUUGAUUUCGUUUUCUUCCGCGCGGGGCUUACCCUUGUUCGGGGGCGGGUACGCGUGCGUUCUACUCGCCGACUCGGGGUGCUGAAUCCACGGGAAUCCCUCUGAAUGGGAACUCAGAUCAUGGGUUUUAUAAACUCGAAGUGCCGCAGUGUUUGCGCGAAAGACUUUUGUAGAUAAUUAGUUCACGCGCGUAAAUUUAAUAUAUUAUUCGCGAGUGUUCCGCGUGUGCAACGAGAGGAAGAAGACAAUCUGGAGAAAACUGAGAGGAGGAGGAGGCCUGGGAGAGGCAUCGGGCCCCAGUGGAGCAACCUUGGGUAAUCACCGUAGCUUCGUGGCUGAUUACUCCGCUUGUUGCGCAUUGGAAUCUUCGGGGCGUCCAACACGGAGCAUGACAGGAGGAGGAGGAGAAAAAGGAGGAGACUCCGCGGACUCAAAGAGUGAUAAAGUGAGCAACACCAGAGAUUAACGGGGAGAGAUAAUCGGCGUGCAAAGACGAUCGUCGUAAUGUACAGUGUUUUCGCGAGUGUGAGUGCAAGGACGGAAUCUGAGAGGAGGACGAGGCCUGGAGGCAUCGUGUGACGGCGGAGCAACCAUGGGAUCGACGUAGCUACUGUGCAGUUACAACUCCGCUGCUGCGCCGUUUCGGUGAG